UGUAUUUAUUAGAUAAAAAACCAAUGCCCUUCGGGGCUUUUUGGUGAUUCAUGAUAACUUUACGGAUCGCAUAGCCUUGCGCUGGCGACGGUUCAUUCAAAUUUCUGCCCUAUCAACUUUCGAUGGUAAGGUAUUGGCUUACCAUGGUUUCAACGGGUAACGGGGAAUUAGGGUUCGAUUCCGGAGAGGGAGCCUGAGAAACGGCUACCACAUCCAAGGAAGGCAGCAGGCGCGCAAAUUACCCAAUCCCGACACGGGGAGGUAGUGACAAUAAAUACUGAUACAGGGCUCUUUUGGGUCUUGUAAUUGGAAUGAGUACAAUUUAAACCUCUUAACGAGGAACAAUUGGAGGGCAAGUCUGGUGCCAGCAGCCGCGGUAAUUCCAGCUCCAAUAGCGUAUAUUAAAGUUGUUGCAGUUAAAAAGCUCGUAGUUGAAACUUGGGCCUGGCUGGCGGGUCCGCCUCACCGCGUGCACUCGUCCGGCCGGGCCUUCCUUCUGAAGAACCUCAUGCCCUUCACUGGGCGUGCUGGGGAACCA
rnacentral:rRNA from 1 species